rnacentral:rRNA from 1 species
GAUGAACGCUGGCGGUGUGCCUAACACAUGCAAGUCGAGCGACCACACGAGGAGCUCUCUCCCCUACCGUUAGCGAGUGACGGGCGGGUAAGACGUAGAUAACCAUCCUCUUUGUCUGGGAUAAUAACGGGAAGACGCUGACACUACUACAUAAUAUAUCCAACCGGAUGGAUCAAUAGAUCUUCGCGCUUUUCCUGUUAGUAUUAGCCGAUGCCGCAUUAGCUAGUUGGCUUGGUAAAGGCCUACCAAGGCAACGAUACGUAGCGUGGCUGAGAGGAUGAUCAGCCACACUGGAACUGAGACACGGUCCAGACUCCUACGGGAGGCAGCAGUAGGGAAUCUUCGGCAAUGGGCGAAAGCCUGACGCAGCAACGCCGCGUGAGUGAAGAAGGUCUUCGGGUCGUAAAGCUCUUUUGUUAGGGAAGAACAGAAGUAUGAGUAACUAUGGACGUCUUGACGGUACCUAAUGAAAAAGCCACGGCUAACUUCGUG